CUUUUUUUUUUUUUUUUUUUUUUGCGAUGGAGUUUCACUCUUGUUGCCAAGGCAUUGGAGUUCAGUGGUGUAAUCUCGGUUCACUUCAACCUCUGCCUCCUGGGUUCAAGUGAUUCUCCUGCCUCAGCCUCCAGAGUAGCUGGGAUUACAGGUGUCUGCCACUAUGCCUGGCUAAUUUUUUGUAUUUUUAGUAGAGAGGGGGUUUUGCCAUUUUGGCCAGGCUAGUCUUGAACUCCUGACCUCAGGUGAUCCACCUACCUCAGCCUCCCAAGUGCUGGGAUGACAGGUGUGAGCCACCAUCCCCGGCCCCUUCCUUACUUCUAACCCAAUCUGGAUGUUGUACUUUUACAUACUUCUACCAUUGAGGGUUUGGAUCUAAGUCUCUUCCCCUUGAAUCUGGUUGGGCUUGUGACUGCUUUGACAAGCAGUACAGCAGAAGUGACUCUAUGUGAUUUCAAAGCUAGGUCAUAAAAAACCAUGUGGCUUCCAGCUUGUUCACUGUGUACUUGUUUUUGGAGCACUGACCUGCUGUGUAAGAAGUCCAACUGCCCUGAGGCCACCAGGCUGGAGAGACCAUGUAUGGAUAGGUUCUCUGAUCAACAGUUUCUAUCAAGCCCAGCCUUCUAGCCAUCAAGCCCAGCCUUCUAGCCAUGUCCACCAAUGUGCCUGACAUGUGAGUGAAGCCAUCACAGACCCUUCAGACCAGCCCACCUGCCAGCUGAAUACUUAUGAUGAAGGUUUAAGAAGCAGCAUCAUCAGCGAACUGUGUUUUGAAGAUUUGAGGGAAGGGCUGACCUCAGGAUUUUAUACUAGGUAUUUGAUGCAAUGCAGACUGGAAUCCUCCCCACAAGGAUGCCCUGGCCUGAGUGGCACAGAGAUCAAUGCAGCAGUCAUUUCCUGGGCGGGGAAAGCCCAUCCACAGUGGCCCUGGAAUGAUGCUGGUCUUACCUUCUAUUCCUAGGAAGGCCCUAUCUCAAGUGGCUCUGGUCCAUGCAAACAGAUGGAAACGGGUGUGGGGAAGCACAGGCCUCCUACUCAUGUUAAGAGAGCUGCUCAGAGGCAGGAAUCCAGAACCAGGAAUGUCCCCAGUGGCUGCCCAAGGUACAAGUGGCAGGCAGCGGGGAGAAUGGCAUGUGAAGUCAUUUGUAACCUGGCCCCAGCUUGGUUUCCAAGUCUCAGAGGAGAUUAUGGAUAUGGUAGUGCCUGGCUCAGUGCUUAAAAUCCAUUCUCCUGCUAUUUCCCUCACCUACACUCAGCCCCACAAGCCGAGAUGUUUGCUGGACAUUUCAGGCACUGCCACCCAGUUCUGUCUACCUUACCUGCUAACACCUGUUGACCAUCCUUCAUGUGAAGGCUUCCCCAAAUACUUCCCAAUCAAAACACUAAAAGGCAGACCUGAAAUUAAUAAAAAUGUUAAUUAAAUCUGUACAACAGAAAGCAUAAUGCCAGUCUUUUUAAUUAUGAAAUGUAGCAUUCAUAUAAAUUUCAUUGCUUUUGAAAACAAUCUAUGGCUAGAUUCUCCUGGGUUUGUAUGAUGAUUACUGAAAACUGUAGAAAAUCUAAAAUCAAGCAAGUUGUUUAUAGGCAAUUACUUUCAGAAGCAAAAAUUAUAAAAGAACCAUGAGAUUUUUAAAGAGAAAAAAUUACAUUUGAUAUGAGAUAAUCAUGCAUUUUAAGAUGUUUAAAAUGACAUGGAGUGGGGUCCCCAGACCAGGAGAGCUGAGGGCUUAUGAAGGACCUAAGGGAGUGAGACCUGUUAUGUAAUAAGCCCCCAUUCUGGGGGCAGCACCACAGAGGCGGGACCCCAGAAGUAGAAGAAGAGCCCUCCUGCACUGGGUGGUGAAGUUGGUAUCAGCCCCUAGUUUGUGACCCUGGACAGAUUUCUCUGCUCUCCAGCCCUCAGAGUCCUCAAUAAAACAAAAACAUAUGCAAAUAUACAAAA
ensembl:lncRNA LINC02028 long intergenic non-protein coding RNA 2028